ACUUUGACAAGGACAGAUGCUCACGUUUUAUCAGACGAGAUCUGCAAGAAAACUUUCGAGAUCUGCAAGAAAACUUUUGUUUUGAGGCGUUAUGCUCUCUAUUUGGUUUAGAAACACUACUACUCUCUCCAUCAUAUAUACCACCCUCCAAACACAAACAAAAACUCUUGCAGACUACAUGGCUCUUAGAAUGUGCAUUUAAGGGACUGAGGCAAAGCAACCUUACCUACAGCAGAUAGCUCUGAAGUCUUGCAGUCUAGAACAUUGAAAGUAGCUUCAGCGGUAAAAAUCUAAAAACUAGCUUAUCUACGAUCCAUCACGUGACGAGUUCGAGUCUUGCUUCUCUGUAGUUUUUUUACUUUUAAUUUGGGUUGCGGUUGUGGUUAUUGUGGUUGUGGAUGUCUUCUUCUCCCUACAGUAAGUGAAACUACACAAAGAAGAAGACAAGGAAGGGGCGUAAUUCGAUGGUCGUGGCGGUUUCAAAAACCCGAUUAAUGGACGGUGGUGGCUAUCAAGAUCUCUGGUGGUUGUUUAAGGGAGACGACAAUGGCGGUUUAAGGGUUUUCAGGAUCAUAUCGGAGAUUGUGAUGCUUGGUGGAACCGUGGAAGCCUGACAAAUGAUGUGAAUCCAACCAUUGAUCCUGUUCGUUUCUUAUACUGUAACCGAUGAACAUUUUGGUUGAGAUAAGCUACCACAAGUAUUUUCAUGUACUUUUUUCACCUAAGAUUAUCAAUUCAACUAUAGUACUCAUUCUAUCAUGUGUUUCAACAUGUCCAAC